UGCUAUUCGGACCCAGUUUUGGCCAAGGGGCACUCAAUUACUAAGGGGCAUCUCUUUCGAUAAGGGCCACCAUCUUUACUAUUCACACCCCAGGGCGUCACCUUCUAAGGGCACCCCUACUCUAGAUAAGGGGCACCCUUCUUCAUCGUUUAAACAUUGCAAAAUGGCGGGAACAUAUUUCAGUUUGCUGUGUAUUAUUCUGUUGGAUUUUCGGAGGCAUUACUGUGAGAUUCAAUCACUGAUUUCAAUUGGGAUGAUCUUGAUAGGCCCAGACAAUGUUGGUAUGGGUGUUCAAAUCAAUUUAUUUGGGCCGUAUAAUCAUAUCAUUGUAACUUACACAGGAGAAUACGUGACUGGAGGAGAUAAACAUGGAUUACAGCAAGGAAAGACGUGUUUUGCUUGUGUUUGGAUCAAGUUGGAAUGCUGAAGAAACGUGCAGCAAUAUUUUGCACGAUUCAUACAGUUGCAGACGCAUGAAGAGGGCCUACGGGAGCCAGUAAGGGUUACGGAGUGAUCGGGGGAGAGACCAGAGCAAAGAAACGUGAGUUUGAGAGAAUUGUUGUUGCUGUCAUUGAAGAACGUACGAAGAACAUAAGACCACAAGGAGCAGUCGUAAUUGCUACAGUGAUUGCGACACAUAUUUGACAGUCGUACAAGCUACAGUGACAACGACAGUUCCCUUUUAUCGUUCUCUAUAACAGUGUUUUACAACAAUUAAAAACGUUGCAAACACCCGAUUUUCAUUAUUUUCUCUUCAUUUCAUUUUUGUAAACAAUUUUGGAAGCAAUGAACAAAUAUUUUGAGCGUUUUUACA